rnacentral:tRNA from 1 species
AACAAAGAAGUAAAAUAUUACAAUUAGUUUCGACCUAAUAUAAGAGUUUAUUCUCCAUGUUU